UCCAGAACCAAACCAGGAGUGUUCAGAGGAAGUGGACCGGUGGGGCUGGAGCAUCCCUUGACAGCAAGAAAUGAAGACCCCUCCUACAGGCCUGUGAGCACCCAUCACUCUUGCUGCUGAAGCACAACUGUCACAACUUUCCCUGGUGAUGAACUCCAAGAGGAUUGGCUCCUGAAUCGUACCCAGCCAGACUGCGGCAAUUGGGGUCACCCCCAGGAGUGCCCAGCAUGAGGAAUGGGAAGAGGAGGUAGAGCUAAAGGAGCAGGAGCUGAAUGACCAAGGAAUAAGUACACACUCGGAGGCAAGAGAUCCAGAACCUUCUUCAUGAAAGCCACCAGACCUCUCAUUACAAGCAUUGGCCGGCAUUGGGGCACAGGUCAUUCCCACGAAGCAACCUGUACUGAUUUCCCGAUCCUGACAUGGAUAAGUCAGGUUCACCUACAACGGAUGAUAGAGCUUCCACUCACACCCGGGCGCUAGAGAAGCGUCCAGUGAGAGGUCAGUGGGAAUUUCCGACAAAAAGUGAACAAGUCUGCAAUGACCCUGAAACCCUUCUGGAUCAGGAGACUGCUGCUGACAAGUCAACAAUCCAGCGCUCAGGAAAAGAUCUUACUUCCAUUCCAAGACGUCAAAUAAAAUAAAAUAAUUUGCAUUGGUAAUUUGAAA